UCGAGUAGAGUAGGCGCUUGUUUUGUCUCUUUUUUUAAAAAUGAGGUUAAAUGAUUUGGAAAUGACGAAAUUAACCUUAUCUUCUACCUUUCAAUGUGAUAUCUCUGCAACCUCUGGCCGCUUUUUAAUUUUUUUUCUCUCGAUUUCACAGAUCUUUCUCACUAUUCUUGUAUGUUUUAGUGAAAAUACAUCAAAUCUAAGACACGCUUGCGAUAUCAAACAAGAAAACCAUGAAAACUUUGAGUUUUUUUCAAGUUCCGAUUUAUUGGCCGUAUAACAUCAAUUCGCCACGGAUGCAGCCCGAUUUGCGUGUUUCCGCGAUUACUCGGCCGCCUAGCCCGCGUUUUCGAACAUGGGUUUUAUCAAAAGGAAAUUUCAUGAUUACAACUUUGGACAUUUUCAAAAAUAUUUUCUUCGUUAAAUGGUAAAAGACUCUUAUACCAUUGUUCUCUAUAUAUAAUAAAUUAUUAUUUAAAUAAAUAAAUAAAAUAUAUACUUUUAUGUUUUCAAAUUUUAACUUUUUAUAAACUUAUUUUUUAUUUUUUUGAAUUCUUUUUUUAAUUUUUUCAAAUUUUCUUUUUGAAAAUUAAAAAUUACGUUUGAAACUAUUUUUCUUUAUUUUUAAAAUAUUUAUUUAUAUAUUUAUUAGAAUCCUAAAUUUCAUAUUUCAAAAACACUACCCUACCUCUCAACUCUAAACCCUAAGGUAUAAGUGUUUUCUAUCUUCAUUAAAAGUGAGUGUAAAAUUGAAUAGUAUAUACAUGAAAAGUGGUAUUAUGAAUGUGGUAUUAUGAAUGUGGUAUUUAUGACAAUUUUCCUUAUAUUAUUCCACCUCUUAACUCUAAAUCUUAAAUCUAUAUUAGUUAGCUUAGGGAUAUAAGUGUUUUCAGUAUAUUCAUCUACUAUUGCAUGACAUAUGGAUGUACAUAGGAUUUCACAUAACACAAUCCCUCCCACUAAUCCAUCAGGCAAGCGCCCAUCAUUCAUUAAAAAGCAUAUUUUGUAGAUUGACAACGUGUGAUAGAAUGCACCACUUAUAGCUUUUACGUUUUGAAAAAAUAAAAAUAAUCUAAAAAAAUCUACCUAUAAAAGUUGUUUGGACCUAUUGGACCUAUUUAUUUUUAGCUUAACCUUUUAUAUACAACCAAAAUGCAUAACUUAUAUUACCCGACAUAAUUUUCAACAUCCACCGGUUUAUAUUAACCAAAAAUUAAGUAUAAACAAUUACUUUUAUCAAACCUAUGCGAUUGAUAUUUUAUACACACAUUUUAUCAAACAAGAUCAAAUGUUCCAAUACAAAGAGGUCAUGUGUCCAUCAUAUCUGUCUCAUCCUCCUCCACUAACGCAUCAAGUUCUUUGCAGAGAAGCAUCAAUGUGAUGUUUAAUAUAUUUUUUGAUCAAACGUUUAUUCUAUACAUACAUUUUUAUUCAAUGAGAUCAAAUGAUUUUCAGAGGGGGCAUGAAUAAAGCAAUCUUAUGUUUCAUCUCUUUCAUUAGAGCAUCAAGUUUUUAGCAGAGAUGCAUCAGUGCCCAAUUUAAUAUAUCAAAACAAUUUUAUACAAUCAUUUCAUUAUCAUCUUAUUCAAUUCAUAUCAAAAACUUAGUUAUAAAAAUUAAGAUUGUGUUUUCCGUCACAUUUGUUGAAUUACAAAUACAAAACCAAACCCUAUAACAGAAAUAAUAAACAAAUAUUUUAUACUUUAAUAUUGAGAUUUUUGGAAUCUUAAAUAUAUCCACGUUCUUAGAUUGUGUAUUAUACACGAUUUUGAAAAUAAUUGAUGCUGAUAUAUUCGUAUCUUAAUAGCUUUACAUAAUUAUCGUUAAAUUUUAUAGAAUGUAAUCUAAAGAUUCUUUUAAGAUCUCUUAUUAGUAACAACCAAGAUAUUUAAAAAUUUAUACCCUAAUUUUGAUGGCCAUCUCACCCUAAUAUUAUAAAUAGACCUUCCUUUUUUAAAAUUUAUAAGAUAUAUAAAUUAUUAUGUAUUAUUGAAGAAUCAUGGUAGAUUCAUAAUGACAAUUACGAGUGUUUAAGAAUAUUUUACAAAAUUACCAAAAAUUAAAUUUGAAAUCUAAAAUAAAAAUAUAAACUUAUAAUAGGUUAUUAACAGCAAAAAUAAACUAAUAAUGUCAUAUCAAUAAGGUUUUCUACAUUAUUAUUUUUUAUUAAAUGGCAUAAUAAUUGGUGUUUUUAUCGGAUCAAUGGUAUCAGAUCGUCGGUUAAUAGCAAAUUUUUAGGUUUUUACCGGAUUUUAUCAAAAUUUUAAUUAACGAAUUUUUCAUUAAUUCCGAACCGGAUUAUAUACAAGGUACUGGGUGUACAAUUUGACAACGGAUAUGGGUCGGAUAUGAAAACACUUCUUGAAACUCAAACUUUAUUAUAGAACAACUUUUAAAUUAUUUGUUUUCUAAUAAAUGAAAAAACAAACCCGCGCUUUUUAAGCGCGAGUCAAAAUCUAGUUUAUACUAUUAAAAGAGAAACAUUCUGAAAAAAAAAUCUACUUAAAAAAAUUGUUGGACCUAUUCAAUAGAAUCUUAAUAUGUCUUAUUUUAUAUUUACUUUAGUUAAUCAAAAUUAUCAAUUUUGUUAAAAGGGAAACUCCAACUGCCAUCACCCGAUAUUUUUGCAUCUAACAUAUCCUUUUACACAUCUCAAUAUUUUAAGUGCACUAAUAUUCACUUCAUUACGUGAGGAAAAAGUCAAAACAAAUUAAUAAUAUGGAAUAUACAUAUUUUCGACCUUAUAUAACCAAACAUAUAUAAAAAAUCAAAAUACUACCCGUCGUGAUGAAAUUCGUUGGUAGGCUAUUUAAAAAAAAAUGUGUGUAUGAACUUACAAAAUAUGUUCAAAGGUAGUAAGCAUAUUUCCAAUACAAACCAAAUCCCUAUACCAUAAACCAUAUAUUAUUUACUCAUUGGACUCUUACCAUUUUUCAUGUAUUUUCUUGAAUCUAUGUAUUUGUCAUACAUAUUUUCUAGAGAUUUUUUAUCAUAUUUUCAGUAUAAAUCAAACCAUAUACCCUAAACCAUAUUUCCAUAAACUUAUAAGCCAUAUAUCCUAAACCCUAUUUCAUAUAUUUCUAAACUAUAAUCUGAUUUCAUAUACAUGUACUUCAUAUGACAAAUCAAAUAGUUUAUUUAGUAUUAUGUAUUAUUAUAAAAUAUAUAAAAAGUCUAAUAAAUUUUUUAAAAGGUGUUAUCAGAUUUUUCUGCGUUUUUACCUGAGCAAAUCGAAUAUUUUAUUUAGUUUUAUGUAUUAUUAUAAAAUACAUGAGAAGUUUAGUCAAUUUAAAAAGUGUUUUAAUGUUCUAUGGGUUUUAAUCUGGACAACAUGUGUCGGUUCAUAUGUUAAUGGCGAGUUUUUGAAUUUUAUCUGAUUUUUAAUUAAUAGGUUUUCAUUAAAUCCAAAUUUUGUGGAAACAUAUCAGUUGGUUUUUAAUGUUUGGUUUUAGAAUUUUGGGAACCGUUCAUGUAUUUACAAAGUUCGGUUUGGUUUUAGUUGGGUUAUUUAGGUUUUUCUUUGGUUCGGUAGCAUGGUUUGAAUCCGGCUAAUAUCUCCAAAAUGGGCCCAAUUCUGUUCUGGUUUAAUUUUGGCUUUCAAGUAAUUUCAGGUUUGUAGAUAAAAAUUGCUGGAUAAUUUAGAGUUUUCAGUUUAAAUAUAGGGUAAUUCGGUUUGUUCGAAUAAAAAUAUCAGAUAAUUUGGAUAAUUUUAAAUAUUUUGAAUAAAAAUUUGGGUUAUUAAGCUUUACAGGUAAUUUGGUUUAUAAAUAGUAAUUUUAGGAUAUUUGUUUAUUUAGAAAUUAAAUAUAAUUUAUUAUUUUUAGAUAUAUAAUUUGUAUUUUAAAAUUCAGGCGUCCAUUUGAUUUUCUAUUUGGUUUCAGUUAUUCGGCUCCCCAGAUAUGGAAUCAACUCGGUUAUUUAUAAAAUUCAUUUUAAUUUGGGUUUUGUGUGUGUUUCAGUUUGAUAUGGUUCGGUUCACGAUUCCACGUAAAUGUGUCUAGAAUUUUACACUAUUUUAUAUAGAAAUUCAUAUUAAAAAAUAUAUAUAUUUAAUUUUGAAAACAAACUCGCGCUUUCUAAACACGGGUCAAAAUCUAGUAAUAGCUUAAAAAUCAUUAGAGCAUCUACAUUUGUUGUAAACCGGAGCUGCUCUACCAAUUAUUUAAGGAAAUAAAUGAAGAAUUUUUUACACUACAAGGCAGUUUUUGAGUUUUUAUUACAAUAUAAGGUAGUUUUUGUUCCUAAAGUAGUUUUUUAAAACUACAAGCUAACUAAGUCCAUUCUUGAAACUAAAUGGAUCCCACAAUAUUUAAUUUUAUUUUCCUUCUUUCUCUCUAACACAAAAACAGCUUUUUCACGAUAGAAAAAAUCUGAAAAUCCAUGAUUCUUAAUUUUAUUGGAAAAAGAUGAUAAAGAUAAAGAAGUUGAGCGGUCGUCACCUGAAAAAACAAUGUUGAUAUGAACAAAGCUCUUGCCGCAGACGCUUCUCGUCUUCUCCAACUUCGUCGAAGGUUCAGAUCUAUCAUAAUGUUCUUUGUCAUCUCCUCCAACGCGUUUUGAUUCAUCUUGUCAUCUCUUAUGUUGCGUUUAAGCAACAUUCCCGGCGCCGUGACCUCAUCUCUCUCGCCAUCACGGCUCUGUAGAAGCUCGAUAACAUCAAUGGCUACUCUUGGGUUUUUUGCACAUUUAGUCCUUCACGUUUUGUAUAAUUUUGUUUUUAACACAAAACAUAUUAAUUGUGCAUAUGUCUACUCAAAUUAAACCAUAAACUUCUUGAUUGUUCAUUCUAGUACAUUUUCAUAAUUUCACGAAUGGUCAAAAAAUAAAACCUCAAAACCCAACAAAUUUCUUGAUUAUUCAUUCCAGUACAUCUUCAUUAUAGCACAUAUGAUCUUUGGUUUUUAUUACUUUCAUUUUUACCUACAAACUUUCAAAAUAAACAAUUGUCUCUUUGAUUUAGCUCAAAAUUAACCAAUUUUGUACUACAACCCUAUGUUAAUAAAAUGAUCACAUAUAUGCACAUAAAUAAAUGUAUUGGAAAAAUAAAUUAAAUGAAAAAAUUAAAGCUAAAAAUCAUUAGAUAUCAAUAACACACAAAAGCAUGUGUACAUCUCAUUAUCUACACCAUCUUUGGCGUGUACACCUAUUGGCAUGAAUGAUACAUCUUGGUGUGUACACCUAUUGUCAUGAAUUGAACACCGAGCGUACACUGGGGCGUACAACAAGCGUAUACGGGGGCAUAUACGAGAGCGUACAUUGGAGUGUACACCGGGCGUACACCAUAUUGUACACUAAAACAUAUAGUAUGCACUAUAUGGUGUAUCCUACGAUGUACACUGUAGCGUAUACUUGGGUGUACACCAUAGCGUACACUAGGGUGUACACCAUAGCGUACACUAGGGUGUACACCGUAGGGUGAACACCGUAGCAUACAUUAAGGUGUACACUGUAGCGUACACUAAAGCGUACAUAGGGGCGUACACAAGAGUGUACUCCUGGGUGUACACGUGAGCGUAUACUUAUGGGUUACGUACACGUAUACUUAUGGGUUACGUACACGUAAGCGUACAUCUAUGGGUACACGUACACCAGAAUGUACACCAUAUUGUACACUAAGGUGCACAUGGUAGCAUACACUAUAGUUGCUCAAAGGUGUACCAUUGUGUCCAUGAAUUCUUUUGUUUGUCUUUUGGGAUACAUCAUUUGAGCUCAAAAUUAGACACAUCAUUUGAGAAAUUUCUCCCUGAUUUAUUUAUUUGUUUUCUUCAUUAUCUUUGUACAUAAUGGGAUAAAAACUUGGGUAAGUAUUCUAUGGAACACCUGAAAAGUCGCAUUGGACCAAGAUAUCUUAGACGCCAGAAAUAUAUGUAACAUUAGAACCUAACAAUACUCAACUCUAGACUUUUAUUUGAAUCAAGAUGGAGUAAAAUAUUAGCACCGCAAAUAUCGUCAACGUGUACACAUGUUUUUCACUAUCCACAUGUACAAUAGUUUAUAAAAAGUCACAUGUACGUUGGUUCUUUGUACAGUGCACAAGUUAUGAUAUCUGAUGAUUCUAAUGAUUUUAAGUAUCUUGUUAUAGUUCAUUUUGAUUUGAUCAAAAAAAAAAAAGUUCAUUUUGAUCAUACUAGUAUUUGUUUAUUGCAUUUGUUUAUUUUUGGCAUAUCACAUGGGCUAGUAAUGCAAAUUCCGAAAUUUAGGUGUGUCAUUAGUUGUUUUUAUUCUAUUUCAUAGAUGUAUUCUUACUAAAAGGGGUUAAAAUAUAGUUUCUGAAGUUUGAGACAAAAUUAAGGACCAACUUUCACAUUUAAAAAAUAUUGGGGUUACAAAAUAAAUAACAAAUAAGUUUAGGGACCAAAUAUGCAAUUUUCACUUAUUUUGCCAGUAUCAGAGCGCGCCGGAGAGACAUGUAGGUCACGGCGACGAUGAAACAUCACGUUUCGACGAUGAAACAUCACGUUUCGACGGCGAGAGCUUAUGUCACGAAACGUCGAGGACGAGAGCUUAGGUCACGGCUACGAGGACACUCAACGAUGGCGAGAGCUUAGGUCACGGUGACAGCAUAGUUGAGUUGCAAAACACAUCCUAAGAUGAGAAGGACAAGUUGCGGCGGAAAAUAAGAGAUGCGACAGAGAAAGAAGAGUUACAGCAGCGGAGAAGGGGGAGUGUGAAGAAGAAGCUUUGCUAAUUUCUGAUUUUUUUAAUAUGUUUUUAGGUUUAAAUGUUUAGUCCCGAGAGAAAGAGAAAAGUAACUAGUUUCCAAAAAAUGUGGGACCAUUUUAGUUAGAUGAGUGAUUUUAGUUAACAAAAACUACCUUAGUAGUCAUACUACCUUAUAGUGAUAUUAAAAACUUGAAACUGUCUUACAAUGUAAUAUUUUCAUAAAUGAAUAGAGUAAGAGAGAAGGAAGAAGAUGGAAAGAACAUGUUCUAUGCAAAGAGCUGGCCUAAGAAUUUUGUCAACUAUUUUUUUAGAUUUGUCACUCAAUCAAUAAUAAAAAAAAAAUAUUAUUUGAGAGACAUACAAGGGUUCUAUUAAUGUUGAUGCUCUUAUGUCUAUCAAUAGAGAGAAUUACACUUUGGGAGACAUUGUGAUUUGUAGGGACGUUCCAUUUGGCAGGAUUUGUCCAUCAACACAGUUCUUCUAUAUGUUAAAUGUAUAUCCCGUUUAUCAAAUUCGAACAGAAAAAGGAAGUGUGGAUAUUUUUUUAUGGACGAGUUUUUUAUGCGGAUGGAAUUGGGGAUGAGAAAUGCGUGGAUGGACAAACCCUGCAAAAUGGAGCAUAUUCCUCAUAGAUGGAGCAAUCCUGGAUAAUUUGUUUUGUUGUAACCUGCCAGCACAAUUCUCAAAAAUCUUUAAAAUACAGAUGUUGAAGUUUUUUGGUUUUGAUGAGCUUCCUUAUAUCCGAGAUAACACACACUAGCAUCAUCGUUCGUGCUUUUGCUGCAAGGAAUCAUAUCCUGGUGAGAAAAUUCUCGGUCAUCACAAGGAAUCAAUUGCUCCAAUACUUCUCUCUUUUAAAAAAAAAUCUCAGAUACUCCUCAUCUAUAAUUCAUUUCAUUUUCAUUUAUUUUUAAUUCGAAAUCUGAUAAAAAAUCUAAUAUACCCAAUAUGAAUCAACUUAUUUACACAACAUGCCAUUAAACCUAAUUUUAUCUCUUAUCUCUACAGAUCUAGAUUUCAUUUACAUUCUUCAUCUUCUUUCUCUCUUCUCUUUUUCUCUCUUCUCUUUCAUUCUUCGAUCCAAACUUUUUUGUCUUUAGUUUUCUUCUUCUUCGGGUGUUCUGCUUUUCCUUUUGUUUUUCUUUGAAUCUCUUCUUCUUCGAAUCUCUUCUUCUUCGAAUCCAUUCUUCUUCGAAUAUUAUAUGUUUUUCCUCUUUUUUUGAUUUGUUGUUCUUUGUUUGCAAUUUUAGGAUUCUUCUUCUUCGAAUCUCACAUGUUUUCCUCUUUCUUCUCUCUUUGUCUCUCUCUUUCUCUCUCUCGCACUACAGAUCUGGCUUGCUGCAAGAAUAUAUGAGAAAUGUGAAAGUAAAACUUCAACCCAUAAACAAAAUUUUACCAAGUUAUACAAUCGUUAAAGUACAACUUUGUAAAACUGUAGAACUUGGUUAAACUAGGUUCAAAGUAUUACAAAGUUGUACUUCGACAACGGUACAACUUAGUAAAACUCUGUACUAGUUUUAUCAACUCGUGCAAUCGUUGGUAAAACUGUAUAACUAGGUUAUAAUUUUACCAAGUUGUACCUUGACAAAUGUAUAACUUGGUAAAACUAUGACAUAGUUAUACCAAGUUUGUACUUCGGCAGUGGUGUAACUUGGUUCAACAUGGUUUUUAGUUUUACUAAAAUUCAAAAUUCAAAUUUUGAAUUUGAUACCCAAAAUUCAAAAUUUAAAUUUUCAAUUGAGGAGGGAAAACGUAAGGGCAAAAUUGGAAAUCUCUUAUUUCACUAAGAGUAGAGAGUAUGCAAGAUUUCGUAAGAGUAUGCUAGAUCACUUUUUGCUUCAUUAAGAGCAUCUAAGCAUUUCUCUCUGAAAUAACUAUAAUCUUGUAAUCCCUUCUUCAUCUUCUUUUUCUCUUUAUUUAUCCUCAUAUUUUUCUUUGCUUUUCUUCCCCUUCUUGAUUUUAAAACUUUAACUAAUUUCUCAAAGACUCAAUGUUUAUAUUUAUUUUGUCAAAUAUUAUAAAAUCAUAAUAAAAAGCUAUUCCUUUCUUUAACAGAUGAACUAUCUUGUGAUGGAGAGAAAUGCUCAGAUGCUCUUAAUGAGGCAAAACGUGAUCUAGAAGAUGAAGAAGGGAUUACAAGAUUACAGUUUUUUUUUUUUUGUCAUCUACUUUACAUACUCAUAUAGACUCUGUGAACCAAACUGGGAGAUCUUGAUCCAUGUGAACAACAAAAGACGUUUCCUUCCUAGCGCUACGGGCUAAGCUAUCCGCCUGCUUGUUCUGCGUUCUUGGAACAUAGAUAAUCUCUGCAUAGGAAAAACUCUCUUUCAAGCUGUUUAUAUCCUCCAAAUAACUUGCAAAUGCUGGCCAGUCCUCUGGUGUUGAAACCAUCUUCACCAAUUGAGAACAAUCCGUUGCAAACGUAACCUGAAAUUGUCGUAAGUUCUUCAUACAUUCCAUUGCCCAUAACAAAGCUUCCAUUUCUGCAUGAAGUGGAGAAAGGGACGCCCGGACAUUCCUUGCACCCAUCAAAUCCGCAAAACCCUCUAGAGUACUAUACCAUCCUUGUCCUGAGAAAAUAUCGUUGUCUUUCCAGGAACCAUCCGUAAAACACCAUCUUCCUGGGAUUGACGGAAGAACCAUUGCACCAGCCUGUUGAACCCUCCUUUCAUCAAGAUUACAGUUAUUUCACGUGAAGCAAAGAAAUAGAAUAAGUGGUUACAGUUUUUUAGUAUAUCUUUAUUAUUGAUUUUUUCCUUACUCAUUAGAUUAUAUGUCUCUUAAAUAGAGAUUAAGUUUAGACAUUUUAAUUUAAUAAAGUGUCUUACAAGUACAAUGUAUCUAUAAGUAUAAUUGAUAAGACAAAAUAUAUCUUUAGGUCUAAUUUUCUCUUCCUAUAAAGGUCAACAUUUUGAAUGCAUAUUUUGGUCUUUGUCUAAACUUCCAAAUAUUUUUUUUUUAAUUUCAAAAACUAUCAUCUAAUUUUAAAAUUAGAUGACAAUUACUGUGUUACUUGGAAUGAGAAAAUUAUAAAUAUUUUUAAAAUAAUUUAAAAAAUAUAAAAAAAUAUUUUUAAAUAAGAACAAAAAUAUAUAAAAUACAUUUAAUAUUUAAUCAAUUUAAAAUUGCAUGACACACGUAAACACACAUUUUUGUGUACUUCGCUGAAACAAUUUAAAAUACUAGUAAUCUAUAAAAUUGUAAAACUAAUAAUGAUAUUUAAAGUAUGCUAUGUAGUUUUCGUGCUAUAAAUGUUGUUUUCGAAUGAGUGUGAUUUAUAAAAAAAUAAACCAUGGAGUUUUUCUUCAAGAAAAAUUAUAGAAAUUAAAGAAAAACGAGAGAUUAUAAAAAAUAUUUUUACAGUACCCCUAUUCUUUGAAUUAUUUACAUAUAGUAUGUUCUUUUUAAUUAUCAUCCAACAUUUGUGUCUAGGAAUCAAAACAAUUGAGAAUAAACAAUAUAUAAUGAAUUGAGAUAUAAAAGCCAAAGAUCAUUUAUAAUCCUGUUUAUAUAUGUUAAUACAAAGCAAGUGAAGGUUAAAGUGUUGAGAUAGUUGAUUAAAAGAUUCACUUUUUGUGUUUGUUGUAAAAAUUAGAUUCUAAAGUUGCUAACAUAAACCUAAACCUAAUUAAUGUUGUGCAAAUGUAAAAUGCGAUUUUCUUUAAUUGUUUGUCUGUUCUUGUUUUUUCUAUUUGUGUUCAUUUAUAUUUAAAAUGGGUCAAAGUUUUUUGUAAUAGAGAAUAAAAUAUUUAGGAACAAAAUUGUGUUUCAAGUUAUUCAUAAUCUUUAUAUUCUACCAAACUUUAAAUUUUAAUAAUAUUAAGUGGACGAACUAGGGUCCAAGUAGUCUAACCCGCAACGGAUUCGAUUUUAUUUUAGUCCGUGCGUAUUGAUCUGCCCGCGAGUUGCAAUUUGCAUAUACAUGUCCAAACCGCUCCGCUAAUGGGCUACUUGAACGUAAUUUGCGGGUUGCGGUCUGCUUUGAUAUCUCUAGUUAGAUGUCAUGGAGGUGACGGUUUAAAAUCUCUAAGUUACAUACUUUUGUUUAAAGAUAGCUUUUAAAACGAUAUAGUUUUGUCUUGACCAAAAAAAAAAAACAACAAACGAUAUAGUUUUGUCAUCAAUAGACAGAUGUCCUAUGAAUUUUACUUCUUGUAUUGACCAGUUUUUGAUUUCACAGAUUAAGUCGCAAAAAGAAAUUAUAUUGAGGAUUUUUUUUUUAGACCCAAAAAGUUU